rnacentral:misc_RNA from 1 species
GGUGAAGAACGUAGCGAAAUGCGAUACUUGGUGUGAAUUGCAGAAUCCCGUGAACCAUCGAGUCUUUGAACGCAAGUUGCGCCCGAAGCCAUCAGGUUGAGGGCACGUCUGCCUGGGCGUCACAUAUCGUUGCCCAAUGCCUAUUGCAGUGCAAUAGGAAUUUCUAGGGCGAAUGAUGGCUUCCCGUGAGCGUUGUUGCCUCGCGGUUGGUUGAAAAUCGAGUCCUUGGUAGGGUGUGCCAUGGUAGAUGGUGGUCGAGUUAGAACGAUACCGAUCAUGUGCAUGCUCCCCAAAAUAUGGCCUCUAUGACCCACACGCGUCUUUUGACGCUCAUGACGAGACCUCAGGUCAGGCGGGGCUACCCGCUGAAUUUAAGCAUAUCAAUAAGCGGAGGA